rnacentral:rRNA from 1 species
UAGGGAAUUUUCCACAAUGGGGGCAACCCUGAUGGAGCAAUGCCGCGUGAGAGAAGAAGGCCUUCGGGUUGUAAAUCUCUGUUAUAAGGGAGGAAAGGUAUCAAGAGGAAAUGCUUGAUAUUUGACAAUACCUUAUCAGAAAGCCACGGCUAACUAUGUGCCAGCAGCCGCGGUAAUACAUAGGUGGCGAGCGUUAUCCGGAAUUAUUGGGCGUAAAGGGUGCGCAGGCGGUUAUAAAAGAUUGUGGUUAAAGAAUGGGGCUCAACCCCAUAAUGCCAUGGUAACUGUAUAACUAGAGUGCAGAAGAGGAGAGUGGAAUUCCAUGUGUAGCGGUGAAAUGCGUAGAUAUAUGGAGGAACACCAGUGGCGAAGGCGACUCUCUGGUCUGUAACUGACGCUGAGGCACGAAAGCGUGGGUAGCAAAUAGG